UACGAAGGGGGCUAGCGUUGUUCGGAAUCACUGGGCGUAAAGGGCUCGUAGGCGGCCAACUAAGUCAGACGUGAAAUCCCUCGGCUUAACCGGGGAACUGCGUCUGAUACUGGAUGGCUUGAGUUUGGGAGAGGGAUGCGGAAUUCCAGGUGUAGCGGUGAAAUGCGUAGAUAUCUGGAGGAACACCGGUGGCGAAGGCGGCAUCCUGGACCAACACUGACGCUGAGGAGCGAAAGCCAGGGGAGCAAACGGG
rnacentral:rRNA from 1 species